ACGACUAGGUGUUGGUGAGGGUUAUCUGAAGGUUGUGUAUAAAAGCCUCAUUGAUCCAACAAUUAGUCACAUUACAAGAGCUCCAAGGUCUCGACAACUGGAUGCUUAAUUCAUUUUGUUGCCUCAUGAUUAGGAUGCUCAAACUCAUUGUGUUUUCAUGUUUGAUUGCCAACGUUUUGACAGUUCCACAUAGAAAAUUUAUCUUGGAUAAACCCAUCACGGGAAACUGUCACCACGGCACCGCAUGUAAUGGUUGCAACACAGCUGAUAUCAUCGGUCACGGUUUCUGUUGCUACAACUGCUACGGAGCUAUGAAAAUAGAUGUUACUGUAGACGGAGUGCAUUGCCAAUGCUGAAACUUUUGUAAUGCUGUUCAUUUUGUUUGCCACGGAAAAAUAAAACUCCUCUGUUCA